CAAGAGAAUUGAGAAGUGAGACUACAGGGGCAAGAUGUAUACACCAAAACUGUUUCAUUAAAUUAAAGUUGCUUUGGUGAUGAUAGUGUCCCUUGAGUGCUGAGAUAGUUUAAAUGUAGCUUUGUCCUUGUACUUUGCAUUUGUGGCAUUAUAAGUUUCUGAUGGAAUAUGGAUGUAUAAUUUGUGUGAAUGUGUGUGUGACUGCAUGUUUAAUGUCCGUGUAGAAUGCGAGUAAAUGAUCUAUAUUCUUUCAGAGACCUUGCACAUUUGCUCCGAG